CAUGUGCAAGAAUUAACCUCGUGGCUCUGCUGUGGCUGUGGUUUGAUAGAGAAUUUGUACAUCCCAGGACAGCAUAGCGCAUAGAGACACUAGAUCUAUCACUAUGGAUGAUACAUCACAAGCAAAGCAAAGACAUAUGUGGACACUUGGCUAGGAAUUCAAAAAAGGAUGGGGAGCACUGGUUGAAGGAUGAGCCAGUGGAUAACUACAUGAGAUACAGUCAGCUAAGUUUGAGAAUAAAGUGAAGAGUCUCAAGAUCGCUAAGAAAGUGCGCGAGUGUGUGUUGACUGUUUAGGAUAAUUAUUAUUAAUUUUAUGCUCGCCCAUAAUUACGUUUCAACUUAGUGAAGUUUUACACCUCAGAUAAAUUAUUUGUCUCUG